UAUGUGAUCGUCUCUCGCAUAUCAAUAAGCGGAGGAAAAGAAACUAACAAGGAUUCCCCUAGUAACGGCGAGUGAAGCGGGAAGAGCUCAAAUUUGAAAUCUUAAAGGAUUUCCCUUUACGAAUUGUAGUUUAAAGAAGUGUUUUCUGUUGAGGUUUUGGUAAAAGUUCUUUGGAAUAGGACAUCAUAGAGGGUGAGAAUCCCGUAUUUGACCUUUACUUUCAACUUUGUGAUACACUUUCAAAGAGUCGGAUUGUUUGGGAAUGCAGUCCAAAAUGGGUGGUAAAUUUCAUCUAAAGCUAAAUAUUGGCGAGAGACCGAUAGCGAACAAGUACCGUGAGGGAAAGAUGAAAAGAACUUUGAAAAGAGAGUUAAACAGUACGUGAAAUUGUCAAAAGGGAAGCGUUUGACACCAGUGUUGUUUUUCUGAAAAUCAAUUAAAGAACUGUUUAUGCUAAGUUGUUUAGACUUCAUCAGCUAACUGUUUAGUUUUGAGCUUUUCUUUAAUGCACUUUUCAGUUAACAAGUCAACAUCAAUUUCUUUUGCUGUAAAAAAGCUUGAGGAAGGUGGCUUGAUGAUUCGUCUUAAGUGUUUAUAGCCUCUUGCCUAUGCAGUCGGAGAGAUUGAGGUCUGCAGCGUAGAUCCUUCGGGGCUAAAUGCAUUUGUGCUAAGUUAUAGCACUUUAUAGACAACUUGUUGACUAUGAUUUGUCUUGUAGCUUACUCGCUUAUGUUAUUUUACCUACGCUUAGGAUGUUGAGUAGCGACAUACGCAC
rnacentral:rRNA from 1 species